GAACUUUCCCAAAGCUCUGCCGUAGUCCUCUGCUGCUCUGCGGUGCUUCUGAAGCUGACAGCCUCAGAGCCGAUAGAUACUGCAGUUUUCACCAAGCCGAUAAGUUCCUCGCUGUGACGUGUCCAGAAGAUCAAAGUAGUUUUAACGCUUUAAUGUAGAACUUGAUCGGUCGCUGGUUUCUAGAAGCCGUUUCUACGAGCCAAUAGUCGCUGUAAGGUCUCUAGAAGCUGGUAGUUGUGGAAGAUGACUAGAAGCUGGAAGUCACUGGAAGGUUUCUUGAAGCUCGUAGUCACCGUAAGCUUUCUAGAAGCUGACUCUAGAAGCUGGUAGUCACUGGAAGCUUUCUAGAAUCUGGCAGUCACUGUAAGAUUUCUAGAAUAUGUUUCUAGAAGCUGAUUGUCAAUUUAAGCUCUCUAGAAGCUUUUUCUGGAAGCUGGCAGUCACUCUAAGAUUUCUACAAUAUGUUUCUAGAAGCUGAUGGUCAAUGUAGGCUCUCUAGAAGCUUUUUCUGGAAGCUGGCAGUCACUCUAAGGUUCCUAGCAGACAGUAGUCACUGUAAGCUAUUUCAAAGCUGUUUCUAGGAGCUGGCGGUCACUGUCAGGUUUCCAGAAGCUGCUUCUAGAAGCUGAUAGUCACUAAUAAGGUGUAUAGAAGCUGUUAGUUUUUGUAAACCUUCUAGAAGCUGGCAGUCACUGGAAGCUUUCUAGACGCAGUUUCUAGAAGCUGGUACUCACUGUAAGAAGCUGGUAGUCACUCUAAGCUUUCUAGCAGACAGUAGUCACUGUAAGCUAUUUCAAAUUUGUUUCUAGAAGCUGGCGGUCACUGUCAGGUUUCCAGAAGCUGCUUCUAGAAGCUGAUAGUCACUAUAAGGUGUAGAGAAGCUGUUAGUUUUCGUAAACCUUCUAGAAGCUGGCAGUCACUGGAAGCUUUCUAGACACAGUUUCUUGAAGCUGGUAGUUACUGUAAGCUCUCUAGAAGCUGGUCUUCACUGUCAGGUUUCCAGAAGCUGUUUCUUGAAGCUGAUAGUCACUGUAAGAUGUCUAGAAGCUGGUCUUCACUGUAAGAAGCUGGUAGUGGAUGUAAGAUGUGUAGAAGCUGAUAGCUGCCUUGUGACUCUCCU